GCGGCGGCUCCAUCCCGGGAGGAGGCGGCGGCUCCAUCCCCGGCGCUCCGGAGCCCGCCCCGGCCGGGCGGAGCCUGAGGGCGCCGGUGCCGCCCCUGGAAGCCGGCCUGUCCCGGCCCGGCAUGAGGCUGAGCCGGGCGGCCGUGCUCCGGCAGGCCAAGGCCGCCGCGCUCGACGGCGUCCGCCGCCUCAACUGCUGGGGCAGCCACCUGACAGAUAUCUCGAUAUGCCGGGAUUUGCCCAACAUCGAGGUGAUCACGUUCAGGUGAAUGCCAGGCUGCCAGCUUUGGAGAGGGCAGGGAAAUCACCUUUUUCCUGGAGCUUAUUUUCUUCCCACCUCGCUGUGGUUGUGUGUCUGAGCUGCCUGGCUCUUCGUGCCCCAUUUCUCAUGCAGCAGGGAUGUAGAAAUGAUUAUUACUCACUAGCUCCUCUGCACCUUCCCCUUUGCUUCUCAAGAAAAUAACCCCUGUUUCAACAAGUGUUAAAACUCCAUUGUUGAAGUCCCAUUCCAUAGUUUGGAUGGGGAUCAUCAUGGCCUCUGUGUGUGGCCUGUUUGCAGGGUGCUUGUUGAAAUGCUUCAUGGAUCUCUCAGAGCUUUUCCUUUCCAUAAUACACCCAACUUUUCACCCAUCCUGGGAAUCCCAUGGAGCCAAUGCUCUGCGAAGUGGAGCUUGGGAAUCUUAUAUGGCUUCUCCUUUGGUGGGUCUGAGGAAGUGCCACAGGAAAGGGGGCAGGUCUGGGGGAAGCAGAGGCUCUUUGCCAUCCUCAGCAGAGGAGCGCCGGCUGUUUUAAUUCUGCCCUCUGUUCACAGAGAUAAAAUGCCACA